UAGGUUCAUGAUGAAUGAAAAUUUGACAGAUCACAAUGUUGACUACCAAAUUACGAGCUUUUUAAUACUGACUUCUAA
rfam:Daphnia pulex DAPPTscaffold_230_Cont7497, whole genome shotgun sequence.